rnacentral:rRNA from 1 species
GAUGAACGCUGGCGGCGUGCCUAAUACAUGCAAGUCGAGCGAACAGAUGAGGAGCUUGCUCCUCUGACGUUAUCGGCGGACGGGUGAGUAACACGUGGAUAACCUACCUAUAAGACUGGGAUAACUUCGGGAAACCGGAGCUAAUACCGGAUAAUAUAUUGAACCGCAUGGUUCAAUAGUGAAAGACGGUUUUGCUGUCACUUAUAGAUGGAUCCGCGCCGCAUUAGCUAGUUGGUAAGGUAACGGCUUACCAAGGCAACGAUGCGUAGCCGACCUGAGAGGGUGGUCGGCCACACUGGAACUGAGACACGGUCCAGACUCCUACGGGAGGCAGCAGUAGGGAAUCUUCCGCAAUGGGCGAAAGCCUGACGGAGCAACGCCGCGUGAGUGAUGAAGGUCUUCGGAUCGUAAAACUCUGUUAUUAGGGAAGAACAAAUGUGUAAGUAACUAUGCACGUCUUGACGGUACCUAAUCAGAAAGCCACGGCUAACUACGUG